AGCCAUGACUGUAGACUGUUACUGUACUGUGACACUGUAUAAGCAGUAAGCAGUCUAAAGCCAAGGUGC
ensembl:miRNA